ACAGGAUUAGAUACCCUGGUAGUCCACGCCGUAAACGGUGGGUGCUAGUUGUGGGUUCCAUUCCACGGAAUCCGUGACGAAGUUAACACAUUAAGCACCCCGCCUGGGGAGUACGGUCGCAAGACUAAAACUCAAAGGAAUUGACGGGGGCCCGCACAAGCGGCGGAGCAUGCGGAUUAAUUCGAUGCAACGCGAAGAACCUUACCAAGGCUUGACAUAUAGAGGAAACGUUCAGAAAUGAUCGCCCCGCAAGGUCUCUAUACAGGUGGUGCAUGGUUGUCGUCAGCUCGUGUCGUGAGAUGUUGGGUUAAGUCCCGCAACGAGCGCAACCCUCGUCCUAUGUUGCCAGCACGUUAUGGUGGGAACUCAUGGGAGACUGCCGGGGUCAACUCGGAGGAAGGUGGGGAUGACGUCAAAUCAUCAUGCCCCUUAUGUCUUGGGCUUCACGCAUGCUACAAUGGCCGGUACAAAGGGCUGCGAUACCGUAAGGUGGAGCGAAUCCCAUAAAGCCGGUCUCAGUUCGGAUUGAGGUCUGCAACUCGACCUCAUGAAGUCGGAGUCGCUAGUAAUCGUAGAUCAGCAACGCUACGGUGAUACGUUCCCGGGCCUUGUACACACCGCCCGUCAAGUCACGAAAGUCGGUAACACCCGAAGGCCGGUGGCCUAACCGUAAGGAAGGAGCCGUCGAAG
rnacentral:rRNA from 1 species